AAAGAAAAACCUGUCCACAAAUUUUUAUAGCAGCCUUAUUCAAGAUAGCCAAAAACUGGAAACAACCCAGAUGUUUUUCAACAGGUAAAUAAAAAGACGUGUGAUAUUUUCAUACCAUGAAAUACUACUCAGCAACAAAAGGGAACAAACUUGAUAAAAACAUCUAAGAUAAAUCUCCAGAGAAUCAUGCUGACUGAAAAAAAGUCAGUCCUUAUACUGACUCUAGAUAACCUCAGGCUAAUCACACACCCCCAUGUGGCAGCAACAACCCAUUUGAACGUCUGCCACAUCAACUUUUGAUGAUAGUCACCAUGCCUACCACGGUGACCAUGGGUAACAGGGAAUCAGGGUUUGAUUCCAGAGUGAGAGUCUGAGAAAUGGCUACCACAUCCAAGGAAGGCAGCAAGCAUGCAAAUUACCCACUCCCAACCCAGGGAGGUAGUGAC
rfam:Pongo abelii chromosome 9.